GCGCUUGUAGCUCAGUUGGAUAGAGCAACGGCCUUCUAAGCCGUAGGUCGCGGGUUCGAAUCCUGCCGGGCGCGCCA
rnacentral:tRNA from 1 species